rnacentral:lncRNA from 1 species
CAUAAUAAUGUCCCAAUCUAUUUUAAGCACUGUGUGAGGUAGCUGUCAGACACCAGCAAGCACCCAGCAGACCUCCACCACAAGGAGCAUAACUGAGGAAGAGCCCCAGCUGCCUCGCUCUGCAAUCUACUACCCUCUUUGCACUAGGGCCUGGUCUCCCACGGACAACUCCCAGUGGAGGAAGCUUUUGAAUGUGAAUGCAGAGUUGAACGAACACAAACAAACAGAAAGCUCCCAGCACUUUUACUUCUUUUGGCAGAUUACAUUUUUUGUUCCAGAGAAGUAAAGGGAAGAAAUGAAGACCAGCAGGUUGCAUACAACACAGAAAAGAUCUGAUGAAAAUUCUACUAUGGCCUGUUUAUUUAGAAACAGAUUGGCCGGAUAAUGCUAAUACUAAUCACUGUCGUGGCUAAAAUUUAUUAAACACUCUCUCUGCUAUGCAUUUCAACAUACACCCCUAAGAGGUUGGUACUAAAUUUUCCAUUUUAAAGAUACGGAAAAAGAUACAUGAUAAGUUUAAGUAACCUGUUCAGCUAGUAAGUGGCAGAGCUAGGUUACAAACCCAGGUGAUCUUAUUCCAGAUCAGAAGAUCUGGACCAAAAGAAUUGGAAACAAGUCUGUCCUUCGUCUACUGUAACUCUUAUUGAAUAUCAUAUGGGGAUGA